rnacentral:rRNA from 1 species
AUUGAACGCUGGCGGCAUGCCUUACACAUGCAAGUCGAACGGCAGCGCGGACUUCGGUCUGGCGGCGAGUGGCGAACGGGUGAGUAAUACAUCGGAACGUACCCUGUUGUGGGGGAUAACUAGUCGAAAGAUUAGCUAAUACCGCAUACGACCUGAGGGUGAAAGUGGGGGACCGCAAGGCCUCACGCAGCAGGAGCGGCCGAUGUCUGAUUAGCUAGUUGGUGGGGUAAAGGCCCACCAAGGCGACGAUCAGUAGCUGGUCUGAGAGGACGAUCAGCCACACUGGGACUUAGACACGGCCCAGACUCCUACGGGAGGCAGCAGUGGGGAAUUUUGGACAAUGGGGGCAACCCUGAUCCAGCAAUGCCGCGUGUGUGGAGAAGGCCUUCGGGUUGUAAAGCACUUUUGUCCGGAAAGAAAUCGCGCUGGUUAAUAGCUGGCGUGGAUGACGGUACCGGAAGAAUAAGCACCGGCUAACUACGUGCCAGCCGCCGCAGUAA